GUGAAAUAGGAGAAAGGAAACUAAGAGCCCCAUGGUGCUGAUUUAUUAAGUUACUGUAAGAAUUAUAACUAUCACUGGGACCAGCGACAUUUAUUCUGGCAUGAUUGGCACAUAUUCUCUUUGUUGUCAGCUUUCAUAGGAUACCAAGUCAUAGUAAGCAUCACAUUAGCAAUUCAUCAUGGAACAUGGCCACAGGCCUGAAAACACUUAAAAUUCUUUUGGUCUCCUCACCCUGUUGAUGUGGGUGAGGCCUGUGCAGGAAUCCAAGAAAUGGCUGAUGGCUUAGGACAGGAGUGAUUAUAUCAGUGGAUCUCAACCCCAGCUGCCCCAGAAAUGAAAUAUAAAAGACCAAUGUCUAGAUCUUCUCCAGAACAAUCAGCUCAAGAUCUGGGUUGGGGCCCUGGUGGGGCAGGAAUCAAUAUUAAAAAACUAAACCAAAAACCCAACUCUCCAGGAGAUCGAAAUGAGCACUCAAGGCUGAGAACUACUGAGUUAAGAGCCUUAAGUGAUGGAAUACUGGUUAGCAUCAUUUUAUGGUACCAUAAAUCAUCUGACUCAUUUUGGGGAUCUGAAAUCCCUGACUUUGAUUAAGAUCUUCUUUUCCUUUCCACCGCACAGGGAAAUUCACUGCCAGUGCUUUUUACUGAUAUGCUGUUUUUCUGGGUGUCCAUAUCUGAUCAACACAUUUCCAAAUGACAUAGCCUUUUUCUUAGGUAUUGCUGAUUCAGUCAGAUUAUAGUGGUCCAGACUUACUCAGACAGACUGCACCUAUCUGGCUAGAACCAAUAUUGAUUUUAAUAAUAACAUCCAACAUUUACCACAUGGGCUUCUAUGCUCCUGGUGUCCUAAGAAGCACAUUUUAUAUUCACGUCAUUUAAGAAUCACUACAACUCUAAAAAAGUAAGUAAAUCUGUUCCCAUUUUAUAGAUAAGGCUGAAGGAAAUUAAGUAACUUCUCCAAAGUUAUUGAAUAACCAACCCCCAACCCUAUGUUCUUCCUGUCGCUCUGCUUCUCGUGUUUUAACUUUCAAAGGUUAGCUUGUUCUUUUUUCCCCUCAUUUUCCUAUUUUCUUGGAGAAAUUUCCCAUAAUGGUAACAAUGGAGUGCUAACAACAAUCACUGUAAUAUAACUCAGUGAAAACUGGAAUUUAAUAUGGGGACAACCCUAGAUGGCUCCCGAAGGGAUUUACUAACAGUUAUUGACAAACAAAAGAGAAGCUUUGAUAAACAAGAGUCAUGUGUGGGUCCAGGUGGGUACCUGUAAGAAUAAAGCAGAAUGUGGUAAGUGGGAAGGGAAAACAGGCCAUCUUCUAAAUGUGGUUUCUUUGCACUACAAACAUACAUUCUUGAGCAGCUUAAAUAUAAAGGCUGAAAGGAAAAUCAUGUGGCCUAGGACUUAGCAUUUGCAUUUUCCCCCAAUGCCACAUUCAGAUACAUGAAAGUAAUAAAUUUAAACAUUACUUAAAAAAAAAAACUCUGUUUAUUUCAUCUUCAGGUAGUUCUCAAGUGAAAUGUUAUCAUCAACAUCUUUCUGAGAUGUUUUUGAUCAUUAUUCAAUUUUAUUUAUGUUUUAUGAUUUUUCUUUAUGUUUGUAUAAAUGUGAGUCACCUGGAACCUGAGAUGUGUGGCAAGGAAGACAGAAAAGAGAGAACGAAAGAGACAUAGGAAGCAAGAAAGAAAUAAGAAACUGACCUGGACCCAGGUGGUUAAGUCAAAACAUCACUAAUACAUAGGAGGGUACAUCUCAGAAAUGGGCCAAACACCAGUGCACACUGUCUGUUCCAAGAGGAUGGAACAUUUGUCAGGUCACUAAUGAUUAUGGUAUUUGCAUUUCAUGGUUUCCCCAGAAAAAAAAUAGUGCCAAAAAAGGCAUUUAAAAUUGAAAGAUAAGAUAGUCUAAGAAGGGAUUGCAAAAAUUGCUAGGCUCUUUGUCAUUUGAUAAUUCUAUGCUUUUAUUUGUGAAUUCAACUUUCUUUUGUGUUCUAGGAUCAGGUAUCAAAGGAUAAGAAUAAAACAUUUGGGGAGGGCUUAGGUAGAGAAGUUUCCUGGAGGGCUGUGUGAGCAUUUUAAUUAAUUCAUAGAUGCAGUAAUUAGUCAUCAUGACCUUGGGAAACAGACUACCCUGAAGGUCACUCCAGACAAUUAGAAUAUUCUAAGCUUUGUUCUUUUUUCUUUUAUUCUUCUCUUCAAGGACUUAGAGUUGCAACUUUCCAACCAGUGGUCUCUUGUUUAUGUAUUUCUGUCAAUUAAAAAAAGAUAAGUUUGUAAAUAAUAAUAGAUAUACACCACUAUGUUUAUAUGUUAUAAAAUAUAUGCAUAUUAUUAAGUGGGUAAGAGUAUGAUAUAAACAACAGUAAGUAAAUGUUCUGUUGUUUUAAUUUUAUACUCUGCUUUGAAGGCAAUUUCUUACACUUUAAUGUGUAUACAGAUCACCUAGGGAUAUUGUGAAAAUGCAGAUUUUGAUCUAGUAGGCUAGUAUGGGGCCUGAGAACCUGCAUUUUUAAUAAGCAAGUAGGUGACAUUGAAAUUGUUGAUCCAUAGACCACAUUUUUGGUAGCAAGACUCAAAAUCAACUAUCACAUUUCAUAAAUCACUUCCCCCUAUUUUAACACAUUUCAGAAAAUGCAAGAGCACAUUCUUGGCCCAGGGAAACCUGCCAAACUACUCAUAGAUAUGCUGCUGUGGUUAGGUGGGCUUUGUUUGAAAGGUGAUAUACCCAAAGAGAUCUGUACUUCCUCCAACACUUUUUUUUGUUUGUUUGUUUUAUCUCAAAACUUGAAUGUUUUCUUUCUUUUUAAAAAAAAUUUUAAAUGAUUUUUAUUUUUUCCAUUAUAGUUGGUUUACAGUGUUCUGUCAAUCUCUACUGUACAGCAAAGUGACCCAGUCACACACAUAUACACAUAUACAUUCUUUUUCUCACAUUCUCCUCCAUCAUGUUCCAUCAUAAGUGACUAGGUAUAGUUCCCUGUGUAUACAGCAGAAUCUCAUUGCUUAUCUACUCCAAAUGCAAUAGUUUGCAUCUAUUAACCCCGGACUCUUGGUCCAUCCCACUCCAUCCCACUCUCUCCCCACCUUCAGCACUUUGAAAGUAAGUCUGGUUUCCCCCAGAAUCUGGGCUUCUAGGCUGAUCACCUGAUGAAUAAACUCUUUUGUUUCUCAAUAUUCCUGACCAUCAUUUCUCUCCUGAAUCCAAUGCACUGAGUUUGUAUUAGGUAACAAACUCUUGUUGGCUUACUACAUCGAUGUGGGACUAAAGUGCGGCACUAUCCUUG
rnacentral:lncRNA from 1 species